CUGACACAGGUGCUGCAUGGUUGUCGUCAGCUCGUGUCGUGAGAUGUUGGGUUAAGUCCCGUAACGAGCGCAACCCUUGUCCUUAGUUACCAGCACGUUAUGGUGGGCACUCUAAGGAGACUGCCGGUGACAAACCGGAGGAAGGUGGGGAUGACGUCAAGUCAUCAUGGCCCUUACGGCCUGGGCUACACACGUGCUACAAUGGUCGGUACAAAGGGUUGCCAAGCCGCGAGGUGGAGCUAAUCCCAUAAAACCGAUCGUAGUCCGGAUCGCAGUCUGCAGCUCGACUGCGUGAAGUCGGAAUCGCUAGUAAUCGUGAAUCAGAAUGUCACGGUGAAUACGUUCCCGGGCCUU
rnacentral:rRNA from 1 species